AAGAGAACUGGAAUUUGGAGGAAAACUUCAGCUCUUUUCACUGGGAAGUAUGUCCAUGGAGGUCCUCAUGCUGUCACGGUGGAAGUGAAAGCCUUGAAUCUAAAUAUGAAAUUAAAGGUCAGUCAGCCUCAUGUGCAUGAGUCCUCAGGAAUCAAGCAGGCAAAGAAAUUAGAUUGUUAGGGCCCUUCAGAGAACACAAAGAUGUUUUAUGACUUCCGGAAAAAGGGUUGCCAUUAACAAACUGGAUGUCUUAACCAAGAGAAAUUUGUUGUCUUCCAGUUCCAGAGUCUAGAAAUCCAAGAUUAAGAU